UCCUAGUUAACCUAGGCAGUCUCGUUAGAGUCCCCACCAUUACGCGCUGGUAACUAACGACAAGGGUUGCGCUCGUUGCGGGACUUAACCCAACACCUCACGGCACGAGCUGACGACAGCCAUGCAGCACCUGUAUAGAGGCCUUGCGGAAGCACUAUCUCUAGUGCGGUCCUCUAUAUGUCAAGCCUGGGUAAGGUUCUUCGCGUUGCAUCGAAUUAAACCACAUGCUCCACUGCUUGUGCGGGCCCCCGUCAAUUCUUUUGAGUUUCACCCUUGCGGGCGUACUCCCCAGGUGGCAUACUUAACGCGUUAGCUACGGCACAGUCGGGGUUGAGUCCAACUACACCAAGUAUGCAUCGUUUACGGCAAGGACUAC
rnacentral:misc_RNA from 1 species